rnacentral:misc_RNA from 1 species
CGCACAUUGCGCCCGCCAGUAUUCUGGCGGGCAUGCCUGUCUGAGCGUCAUUUCACCACUCGCAACCGGCUUUGCUGGAUGCGGCGUUGGGGAUCGGCUCCCGCAAGGGUGCCGGCCCCGAAAUGGAGUGGCGGUCUCGCUGCGACCUCCUCUGCGUAGUACUUUAUUCUCGCAGGCGGAUAGCAACGUGGCCACGCCGUAAAACACCCAACCUUUCUUAUGGUUGACCUCAGAUCAGGUAGGAAUACCCGCUGAACUUAA